rnacentral:piRNA from 1 species
UGCACUCUGUGGAAGGCUCUA